CUCACAAUAGCUUCCACCAGUCCAGAACAAGACCCUCUAGGGAUGGGACACACUUGCCCAUUUUAUUUCAAAAACUGACUGUUAUUUUUUCAGAACAGAAAUUCUGCUAAGAGAACAACUGCAAUUCUCGCUUGUCUGCAAACUUGUGGAGUGAGAAAGAAAAAGAGUUCUUUGGCUUCCAAAAGAUGCAAGUAUCUUAAAUGUCCCUGAAUCUAUGCCAGAACACAGCUCCAAGGUGGUCUUUGACUGCAAGAGGAGCAAGAUCAGCACUGCAAAACUACUAAGAUCAGCUGAAAUCCAGAUUGCAAACAUAAUAUAAAAGUUGUGGUUUUAAAUACUCCUAUCGUGACUAUUGACGAGAUCAGAAAAUGCUUAGUGAUGGAUGAAUAUUUAUCACUGCAUCCCUGGACAGUACACAAUCAGGCAAAUAACUACCUUCAGUCCUGCCAGAUAAAUGUGUACCACUGCAUUCUUCAUCUGGUGAAGGUCAGAAGGAAAAUUCAAGCAGGAUGUCAAGAGGGAAAUAAAGAUGUCUCACUGAGAGUCUGAUCACAUUAC
rnacentral:lncRNA from 1 species